AAAAUCAAAACCAAACACUAGGCACCACCAUCUGGGAAAGUCCCCUCCCAGCACUCAGGACUCAGGCUGUUGGCCUCAGGACCAACUAUGAGAGGCUGACUCAGGCAUCAGCUCUUUGGCAUCUUCUCCCAGCCCCGGGGCAUGCCUCAGCCAUUCCAAAAUAAAUCAAAGCUGCACACUUGCUAAUCUGAGUUUAUUCCGUUAUUGCAGACAACAGACUCCCUCCCAAAGUCCACAACUCCUUAUCCACCACCCAGAAUACCAAAAAGUCUCAAAACUAAAGGUUGUUCUUAAAAUUCGUUUGACAGCAAAACAUUACCUCAACUGAUAGGAAGCUAUAUACGGUCUUUUUUCAAAUCCCACUUUGUGAGAAUGUUCAUGUUUUAUUUCAGAAACACGAACGGAUGGGAUCCCACGACGCUACCAAAGACUCUGCUAGAAAUCUCCUGUUCCAUAGGCGCAGCCCGGAAAAGCGAAACGACGCAAAUGCCUGCACGCAUUUGGCCCCAAGGGCUUUACAGAAAGUACUGCGGAUCUGCAUGAUCCCCGUUUUACAAGUGAGGUCACCAAGGUGCAGAACAGACCCAAACAUGGCUUCAUGAGGUGCCAAAGCCUGGAUGGGAUUAUUAACCAUGUCGGUAACGCAUUCCCAUCCACCACGAUGCCUGAACACGCGCUGCAAAACUUUAAGUGACAUUGGAAAACGUUACAUCUGUUUUGGGGACCAGCAGUUAGAGGCACGAAGAAGACAAAUGCUUUGCUCAAAUGCACAUGACCUCGGCAACACCAGAUGCAGAACUCUCAUCAAGACCCCGUUUGUUCAUACGAGAAAGAAACCAAAAUCUCCCCCGAAAGGAGUUAAGGGAGGGACAUGUUUGGAGUGUGACUUUUUCCCCAAGAGCGUCUCCACUCUAGGAGAUUUCAGAAAACCACGGCCGGUUCAGUACGUCCGGGGAAGGGACCGACUUAGUCUUCUGAGCAUCUCCCCUCCCUGUGUCUCCGCAGAAUGAAGACGCCAUUCAGGACCCCGCUAAGCGCACACGAGUCCUGGCAUCGUGAUCAACUCAAGCGUCCGUGCAGCAGAAACAGCCCCCGGUGAGGGCAAGCUUUGCCCCAUGAACAAUGAAAGAGACGAGCCAACGCUGUCGUCUAGUCCACUGAGCAACGGCUGGAAAUGGGAAAAGAAACAAAGAGUCCGGGGGCAGGCGCACGGAGAGAGACAAAGAGAACCGAGAGCCUGGCUCCAGACCUCAGCCGCCGUGUGCAGGUGCCGUCGGGGGCUCGGCAGCCCGUCCAGCAGGUACUGUGAUUCAGAGACCUCCGUCUCAGCGCCACAGGCAGGGCUGCACAAACGCGCCAGUUUCGCUCACUGACACCAGCUGGCUCUCCCCUUCUCAGCCAUCUCCUUUCGCUGUGCAUGCUCUCCAUAAAGUCACAGUGACCUGGGAACUGAAAGAGUGCCUCAGCGGCCCCGGAUCUCAAACUUGCCCAUAACCAGAAUCAGAGGCUUGUUAAACACAGAUGCCGAGCCCGCCCCAGAGGCUUGGCUUCCCUGGGCCAGCCAGCGGUGGAGCCAAGAACCUGCAUCUCUACCCAGCUUCCGGGAGGGGCUGCUGCUCUAAAAAGUGCUGCCCAAGAGAGUGACAGGGGAGCUGCACAGGUAGCCUCAGAUUUGCAGGUAGCCACGUUUUCAAAGGCAAAUCCAACAAGCGAAAUGAAUGUUCAUCAUGUAUUUUAUUUUACCCAAAAUAACCUGUCGUUGUUUCAACAUACAGAUAUAAAAUAACUGAUGGGGUAUUUCUACACACCCCUUUUCACAGCAAACCUUCCAAACCUGGCACGCAUUUUACACUUUCAGCAAAUGACAGGCCACCUUCUCCACAGCACAUGAGGCCUUGGGCUGCUGUCUUGGACAGCAGGGCUAAGGAUGAUGACCCUGUCUGGGAGUAAGGGUGUCGUGGGGGACUGAGCCUGGGGCACAGUCAGGGGAUUACGAGAGAAGCUGGGCAGGUGCAGCGGGCUGGAGAGGCGGAUCUGCCAGGGGUCUCUGCGGGAGAGAUCUCAGGACCUCCUAAGAAAACACAUCCCGAAGGACACAGAGAGGGGGCCCUCACACUCCCAGAAGUGAGAAAGGAGGGAGGACCGGGCCUCAGGAAGGCCCCAGCUCAGGAUGUCCUCUGGGCAGCCUACGGCCUCUGCCCAAGUUCCAGGUACAGAGAUUACUAUGCGACAGGGUGCGUGAAACCCCGAAAGAGGGCCUUGCUCAACACAGCUGCAGGAGCUCCAGGAAGCCCCACUCGGUAAUCCAUGCAGCCGAGAGAUGCCCAACCCACUGGUGCUGCCCCCUUCCCCAGGUCCCAAUGCUGAGAAAGUCAAGGGCAGCGUCUGCGGCCUGACACGGGGCUUCCCAGCUGCUGCUGGAGCCUCAGCGCAGACUCAAGGCCCGGGCAGCGGGACCCAUGGCUGCAGCUAGUAGGGACCAGGGCCCAAGUGGGAGCAGGAGGGCCCCCAGAACUUGUCGUCAUUCAUGGGACCCUUCCUGGGAGGAUGGGGAGGGUUUCAGGGGGACCAGGUGACAACCAAGGCUCUCUGGGGGAAGGGACAAGGACAGAUGUCCCUGGCCUCUGGGUCCCUGCUCAGGCUCAGGUCUCGGCACAUGGGCAACACUCUGACUUCUGGGAGGGCACGCAGGAGACCAAGGGGUGAUGGCACAUCUGCGUGCGAUGACAACGACCAUGAAGGAGCAAAGCAAGACAAUCCACGCCGACGUGGAACCCCCUCUCCCCACCGCACCAGGUCCCCUCUUCACCCACCCGGCUUUGCAGAUGAGCCCACUUGGCUUCAGCUCACGCCUCUCAGAUCUGGUUUUCUUAAGAUGAAUUUUUUAUGGUAAAAUAUAUGUAACAUAAAACUUCGCAUUUCAACCAUUUUUCAGGGCACAGGUCUGUGACAUUAAGUCCACUUGUGUUGUUCUACAACCAGCACCCGCAUCCACCUCCAGGACUUGUCCACCUGCCCAAACGGAAGCUCCGCAGCCAGUAAACACUAACGCCCCUCUCGCCCCACCCCCACCCAGGCCCUGGCGACCAGCUCGCUACUUUCCGUCUCCAAGAGCUCGACUGCUCAGGUACCUCCUAUGAGGGGAAUCAUACAGCCUUUCAGGACGGAUUCCACUUAGCAGAAGGUCCUCAAGGUUCAUCCACGGUGUUGCCUGUGUCAGGAUGUCCUUCCUUUUCAAGGCUGAACAACAUUCCACUGCAUGGAUGGACCGCAUUUUGUUUAUCCAUUCAUCCGUCAACAGACACUGGGGUCGCCGCCCUCUUCCGGCUUCUGUGAAUAGUGCUGCUAGGAACAUGCGUGUGCAAACGUCUGUUGGCGUGCUUGCUUUCGGAUCUUUUGGGGGACACGCCCAGAAGAACUGUCAGAUCACACAGUAGUGUCUGGUCUAAUGUUUUGAGGAACGGCCAUCCUGUUUUCCACAGCGGCUCAACCCUUUCACCAACAGCGCACAAGAGUUCCAACUUCUCCACACUCUACUGCCAUGUGUAUUUUGUGUGUUUUUUAGAAUAACUGCUCUAAUGGGUGUGAAGUGCUAUCCUGUGAUUUGAUUUGCAUUCCUCUGAUGAUGAGCGCUGCUGAGUGUUCUGAUGCUGACUCCUGACUGCGGGUGGCUGUCAGGCACCUGUGCCCCUGCCUGGGCCCCAGCAUCUGCCUUUUCCAGCAGUCUUCACUGCCCUCGUGGCCCCGGACUCUACUUACCUGCAGGACCCUGUGUUCUCAUCCAUCUAGAGGGUCUAACCUCUUUGUCCAGAUGCAGGAGACACUCAUCUUGGCCCUCCAAAUGGGCUCCCUCUGUCACCGCCAAGACAGAUCCCGUGCAGAAGCAUGCUUUCCCAGCUCCCAGAAGGGAUGGGACAGAAUCCUCGGGGCAGGCUGGGAUCCAGCUCUCUGCCUGCCUCCCUCCUUCCAGCAGACCCCAGACUGGAUCUAUGUGCACCCACCUGAGCCUUGCCAUGACACACUCAGGGACCAGGCAAGCCCUGGACCCCACGUUGGCAUCUGCAGGAUCCCCGAGGCCGGAGCUGGCUUGACAGAUGCUCACAGAGCCAGAGAGCUUGAGGCAGCAGGGCCCACGACAACAGCAAGCGACACAAAUGGUCACCGGGCAGGAGGCCCACUGGCAAGCGUCCCUCAGGUCCCACUGCACUUGCCCACAAAAGAAAUCAGGCAGGGCAACUUUCCCAAAGCUCCAGGGACGGAAUCCUGAGUGGCCUUACUUUUUUAUUCCAUUCCCUUUCCAUUUGUUUUAUUAAGGGACAUCUUGCACAAGUCGCAGGCACCCCUUUGAGUGUGCCGUUCCGUCGGGUCUGCCACUGACAGUGUAUAUGAAACUGCUGCCCCCAUCAAUACACAGAACAGGUCCAUCACCCCCGAGACGCCCCUGCGGCCUGACACUCCACCCUCCCCACAGCCCAGCUCCUGAAACCACGCAUCUCUUUUCCAUUUCUAGAGUUUCCCCCUUUCCAGACUAUCUUCAGGAAGAGAAUCGCACAAUAUGCAGCCUUUCAAGACAUUCACCGGGCAUCAUCUGAGAUUGAGCCAUAUAGAGUCAUGGGUCGGUCUGCUCCUUUUUGUGAGUUUUGGUUUUUAACUGUUGCGAAAUACACGUAACAUACAAUUUACCCCUGGCACCACGUUCAAGUGUAGGGGUCACUGGCAUUAAGUACAUUCACAGCGUCCUGCCACCGUCACUGUAGCUUUCCUUUUAAAGGUUGCCUUGUUAGGCGAUUAUUUUUGAACUUGAAUUCCACUCGAGGUCCCUUGAGAAAGUUUGACAGCCCGUUCUGCUGGCACGACUACGAGUACGUCAAGAUAUGUCUGCAGUGCCAGCAAAGCCCUGGCCCCUGCCUGCUGUCCCAGUGUCACUAUUAAUAGAGCCACUUCCAGACUUAAGAGUGUCCUGGUUUGGGCCAUAAUCCAUGGCCGCAUUUGCCAAAGGGAAAGAAAGAGUUUCUCUCUGACAUUCCCGGUGAGAAACCAAAUUUUUUUAAAACGGUAAUAAACACCUGAUGGUCUAUCAGAUUACAGCUGUCAAAAUUGCAAAUGCAUUUAUCUCUGACCCAGCAAUCACCUUUCUGAGAUUGUAUCCUACAGACAGACACGCUGCACGUGUGUGUACAAUAUCCCAGCAGUGCCUGGAAACAAAAAAGCAUCAGAAACCAUCCAAGGAGCUCCCGUCGUGGCUCAGCAGAAAAAACGAAUCUGACUAGCAUCCAUGAGGAUGCAGGUUCCAUCCCUGGCCUCACUCAGUGGGUUAAGGA
ensembl:lncRNA